UACGGGGGGGGCAAGCGUUGUUCGGAAUUACUGGGCGUAAAGGGCUCGUAGGCGGCUUACUAAGUCAGACGUGAAAUCCCUCGGCUUAACCGGGGAACUGCGUCUGAUACUGGAUGGCUUGAGUGCAGGAGAGGAACGCGGAAUUCCAGGUGUAGCGGUGAAAUGCGUAGAUAUCUGGAGGAACACCGGUGGCGAAGGCGGCGUUCUGGACUGCUACUGACACUGAGGAGCGAAAGCCAGGGGAGCAAACGGG
rnacentral:rRNA from 1 species